AGCUCCGUACAGACGAACUGCAAAUUCAGACAAGCACUCAAAGGUGCCGGGGCU
rnacentral:tRNA from 1 species